UACAUAAUAUUGUGUGUAUUAUAAUAAAAUUGUAAUGAUACAGAGAAGAUUAACAUGGCCCUUGUGCUAGGAUGACAUGCAAAUUCGUAAAGCAUUCCAUAUAUUU